rnacentral:rRNA from 1 species
AGCAGCCGCGGUAAUUCCAGCUCCAAUAGCGUAUAUUAAAGUUGUUGCAGUUAAAAAGCUCGUAGUUGAAUUUCGGGAUCAAUGCGUCGGUCGUGCCUUCGGUACGUACUAGCGUCAUUGAUUCCUCCCUUCUGAAGAACCGUGAUGUCAUUAAUUUGGUGUUACGGGGAAUCAGGACUGUUACCUUGAAAAAAUUAGAGUGUUUAAAGCAGGCUAACGCUUGAAUACAUUAGCAUGGAAUAAUGAAAUAGGACGUUCGAACCUAUUUUGUUGGUUUUUAGGAUCAACGUAAUGAUUAAUAGGGAUAGUUGGGGGCAUUAGUAUUCAAUUGUCAGAGGUGAAAUUCUUGGAUUUAUUGAAGACUAACUACUGCGAAAGCAUUUGCCAAGGAUGUUUUCAUUAAUCAAGAACGAAAGUUAGGGGAUCGAAGACGAUCAGAUACCGUCGUAGUCUUAACCAUAAACUAUGCCGACUAGGGAUCGGAUGAUGUUAAUUUUUUAAUGACUCAUUCGGCGCCUUACG